rnacentral:rRNA from 1 species
UACGUAGGUGGCAAGCGUUUGUCCGGAUUUACUGGGCGUAAAGAGCGCGCAGGCGGUCGGAUAAGUCGAAUGUGAAAGCCCCCGGCUCAACUGGGGAGGGUCAUUCGAUACUGUUCGACUCGAAGGCAGGAGAGGGAAGUGGAAUUCCCGGUGUAGUGGUGAAAUGCGUAGAUAUCGGGAGGAACACCAGUGGCGAAGGCGACUUCCUGGCCUGUUCUUGACGCUGAGGCGCGAAAGCUAGGGGAGCAAACGGGG